UAUUCCUCUAACUUACCUCACAUGCCUCUUCACAGGUGGCCUCUCAUCCGGUCACAUCAGACUGCUUUCCCUUUAUGCCACUGGACAGUUUAUUCCCUCUGCCUGGAAUGUCCUUUCCUCUUCUUCUGUUGCCUAAUUUCAUAUUGUUCGUGACUGGAUGUUGAUGUCCGAUGACACCUUGAAAGUCCCAUUUGAAGACGAGCCUGGGUCCCUGAAUGACUACAUGAGCCACAGCUGUUCCAGCCACUCUCCUCCACCGAAUCUUUACGAACAGAACUGGAGACACAGCAAUGAAUGUGACUCAUGAAGUGGGAGAAAGACACAACUGUUUGUGUGAUAAAGGCAAACCCUUUUGAUGAUGAAUCCAAUGACUAAUGAGCGGGCCUGGACCCUGAUUGCUCUGCACAACUUUGCAGUGAAGUGGGGGUGAGGUUCACAUGAAGCACCAUGCGCAAUAUGGUAGGUGGGGUACAGCUAAGGUUUACAUGACCAGAUUCCUAUGUCCAGAUGACUGAGGAUUUUACUACCUUAAAUCACUUUUUGGACUAUGGAAAUAAUAAAUAUACAGAAGAAUAAUUUUAAAAAGGAACCUGAAGCAAAAGGUAGCUACUGUACAGUGUUAAAUUCAAUAUACUUUUUAUUACUUGCAGUUUUUCCAUCAACAUCAACAUAUACUAAUUGAAACUUCAGGCAGUGCAGCUUGGUCGGUUAAGAGCAUUUGUGGUGUUUCAAUGCUGAUUUUGGCACUCAUUGGCAGACUGAACUCUGGCAAUUGACUCAACUUUUCUACCCCUCAGUUUCAUCACCCCUAAAACAAAGAUGGUAACAUAGGUCUUGUUCAGUGUCAUGAGAACUACUGCUGCAAAGUGCAUACAAUGUGGAUGGUCCAUAGAAGAGUGCUAAAGAAACUUGAGAUGCACCACCUGGUACAAUGGUUUAGGAACACAGGUGAAUUUAUUUUACAUGAAUUAAAUCACACCUAAGGAGCUCACGUGGGAAUCCUGCUCAGAACGUUCUUCAUGACUCUGUGCCCUACAGUGAGCAUGCGAAGAGAGGCAUAAACCUGAAACUCUUUGAGUAAGCCUUGAUCUCUACAUGCCUCUCACGGCCACGUUGAGCGUGAUUCUGGUGUAUGAAGGAGCAUAUUUUACAUACAACAUGGCCACUGAGGAUAAGAAAAGUACUUUGUCUAAUGCUCAACAGGAAUUUGUUCCAGUGUUAAGGGGAAAUUCAGAAGUGUUGGAUUUACUGAGAAGUAAUAUAUCAAUCUCCAUCAAGUCCCUUUCCCAAAAGGUUCUGAAAAGUAAUUUUGUCUCUGCACUGUUUUUAAAAAUAAAGCUCUGAA